rnacentral:rRNA from 1 species
UACGAGUGCCCCCAAGCGUUAUCCGGAAUUAUUGGGCGUAAAGGGUGCGUAGGUGGUCCUGCCCCAACCUAGUUGGGGUUUACUAGUCUUUCGUUAAAACUCCCGGCUUAACCGGGAAGAUGCGAGGGAAACGGCGGGACUAGAGAGUGCAAGAGGCUUGUAGAACUCAUGGUGUAGGGGUGAAAUCCGUUGAUAUCAUGGGGAAUACCAAAUGCGAAGGCAGCAAGCUGGUGCAUUUCUGACACUGAGGCACGAAAGCGUGGG